AACAGCCGCGGUAAUUCCAGCUCCAAUAGCGUAUAUUAAAGUUGUUGCAGUUAAAAAGCUCGUAGUUGAAUUUCGGGAUCAAGUCGUCGGUCGUGCCUCGGUACGCACUGGUGACAUUGGUUUCUCCCUUCUGAAGAACCUUGAUGUCAUUAAUUUGGUGUCUUGGGGAAUCAGGACUGUUACUUUGAAAAAAUUAGAGUGUUUAAAGCAGGCUCACGCUUGAAUACAUUAGCAUGGAAUAAUGAAAUAGGACGUUUGAUUCUAUUUUGUUGGUUUCUAGGACCGACGUAAUGAUUAAUAGGGAUAGUUGGGGGCAUUAGUAUUCAAUUGUCAGAGGUGAAAUUCUUGGAUUUAUUGAAGACUAACUACUGCGAAAGCAUUUGCCAAGGAUGUUUUCAUUAAUCAAGAACGAAAGUUAGGGGAUCGAAGACGAUCAGAUACCGUCGUAGUCUUAACCAUAAACUAUGCCGACUAGGGAUCGGAUGAUGUUAAUUUUUAAUGACUCAUUCGGCGCCUUACG
rnacentral:rRNA from 1 species